rnacentral:rRNA from 1 species
AAAAGUCGUAACAAGGUCUCCGUAGGUGAACCUGCGGAGGGAUCAUUACACAAAUAUGAAGGCGGGCUGGAACCUCUCGGGGUUACAGCCUUGCUGAAUUAUUCACCCUUGUCUUUUGCGUACUUCUUGUUUCCUUGGUGGGUUCGCCCACCACUAGGACAAACAUAAACCUUUUGUAAUUGCAAUCAGCGUCAGUAACAAAUUAAUAAUUACAACUUUCAACAACGGAUCUCUUGGUUCUGGCAUCGAUGAAGAACGCAGCGAAAUGCGAUAAGUAGUGUGAAUUGCAGAAUUCAGUGAAUCAUCGAAUCUUUGAACGCACAUUGCGCCCUUUGGUAUUCCAAAGGGCAUGCCUGUUCGAGCGUCAUUUGUACCCUCAAGCUUUGCUUGGUGUUGGGCGUCUUGUCUCUAGCUUUGCUGGAGACUCGCCUUAAAGUAAUUGGCAGCCGGCCUACUGGUUUCGGAGCGCAGCACAAGUCGCACUCUCUAUCAGCAAAGGUCUAGCAUCCAUUAAGCCUUUUUUCAACUUUUGACCUCGGAUCAGGUAGGGAUACCCGCUGAACUU